rnacentral:rRNA from 1 species
UCCAGACUCCUACGGGAGGCAGCAGUGGGGGAUAUUGCACAAUGGGGGGAACCCUGAUGCAGCGACGCCGCGUGGGUGAAGAAGUAUUUCGGUAUGUAAAGCCCUAUCGGCAGGGAAGAAAUUGGACGGUACCUGACUAAGAAGCCCCGGCUAACUACGUGCCAGCAGCCGCGGUAAUACGUAGGGGGCAAGCGUUAUCCGGAUUCACUGGGUGUAAAGGGAGCGUAGACGGCCAUGCAAGCCUGGAGUGAAAGCCCGGGGCCCAACCCCGGGACUGCUCUGGGAACUGUGCGGCUGGAGUGCGGGAGGGGCAGGCGGAAUUCCUGGUGUAGCGGUGAAAUGCGUAGAUAUCGGGAGGAACACCAGUGGCGAAGGCGGCCUACUGGGCACUAACUGACGCUGAGGCUCGAAAGCAUGGGUAGCAAACAGGAUUAGAUACCCGUGUAA